rnacentral:rRNA from 1 species
ACGGAAGGCAGCGGUGGGGAAUAUUGCACAAUGGGGGAAACCCUGAUGCAGCAACGCCACGUGUGGGAAGAGGCAUUUCGGUGUGUAAACCACUGUCGUGAGGGAAUAAUGCUUGGCCUCGGCCAAGUUGAAUGUACCUCGAAAGGAAGCACCGGCAAACUUCGUGCCAGCAGCCGCGGUAAUACGAGGGGGGCAAGCGUUGUUCCGAAUCACUGGGCGUAAAGGGAGCGCAGGCGGAGAUGCAAGCAGUCUGUACAAUACCGGGGCCCAACCCCGGACCUGCAGACUGGACUGUUUCUCUUGGAUAGUUCAGGGGCAAGCGGAAUUCCUGGUGUAGCGGUGGAAUGCGUAGAGAUCAGGAAGAACACCGAUGGCGAAGGCAGCUUGCUGGGGACUUAUCGACGCUCAUGCUCGAAAGUGCGGGUAGCAAACAGGAUUAGAUACCCUGGUA